AAGACUGAAAAACGAAAAAAAAAAUGAAAAUAAAUAAAUAAAUAAAUAAAUAAAAUAUAACAGAAAUUUUUUGGACUUGGGCCUCUCUCAUUUGAGCCCACAGGCCCACAAAAAUCAGGUUAUAAAUUCAGAGUUUCAAUGAAACAAAAGGUAAUUCUAUUCCUAUUACUCUGACAGGGAAAAAGAUAGUGAGAGAAGAGCUAACAGAGUUCAGAGCAACCUCUAGAGACUGAAGGGAAC
rnacentral:lncRNA from 1 species